rnacentral:rRNA from 1 species
CACGUAGGCACCAAGCGUUGUCCGGAUUUAUUGGGCGUAAAGAGCUCGUAGGCGGUUCAGUAAGUCAGGUGUGAAAUCUUUGGGCUUAACCCAAAAGCGUGCACUUGAUACUGCUGUGACUUGAGUUCGGUAGGGGAGUGGGAAUUCCUAGUGUAGCGGUGAAAUGCGCAGAUAUUAGGAGGAACACCGGUGGCGAAGGCGCCACUCUGGGCCGAAACUGACGCUGAGGAGCGAAAGCGUGGGUAGCAAACAGG